GGGAGUUUUUUUUUUUAUCGGAGCUGAAGUGAAGAACUAUGGAGCUACAGAACACAGUUAAAGAAGCCCUAAAUGCACUGUAUCAUCAUCCAGAUGACGGCGUUCGAAUGCAGGCCGAUCGAUGGCUACAGGAUUUUCAACGAACUAUUGAUGCUUGGCAGGUGGCUGAUAAUCUGCUUCAUGAUGCAUCUAGCAAUCAAGAAACUUUAAUAUUCUGUUCUCAAACUCUCAGAAGCAAGGUUCAACGGGAUUUUGAAGAACUACCUUCUGAAGCUUUUCGUCCGCUACGGGAUUCUCUGAAUACCUUGUUGAAAACAUUUCAUAAUGGUCCCCCAAAAGUUAGAACACAGAUUAGUCUUGCAGUGGCUGCUUUGGCUGUUCAUGUGCCUGCAGAUGAUUGGGGAGAUGGUGGUCUUAUAAACUGGCUUAGGGAUGAAAUGAAUUCUCAUCCCGAGUUUAUACCGAGUUUUCUGGAACUUCUUAGAGUUUUGCCUGAGGAGGAAUUCAACUACAAGAUAGCUGCUCGACCAGAUAGGCGACGCCAGUUUGAAAAAGAGCUUGCUUCUGCUAUUGAUACCGCACUUAAUAUCUUGACUGCCUGUUUGAAUAUCAAUGAACUUAAGGAACAGGUUCUUGAGGCAUUUGCUUCU
rnacentral:misc_RNA from 1 species